ACUGGACGGGUGUGUUUCAUUAAAAAAAAGAAGAAGGUGGAGAGGUGUCAAUCGCUCUUUGAUAUGGGAGACGUGGUGCACGCAGUGUAGGAUAUAAUUUCUCCUUGAGGGCCCCGAUGGAAACAUCUUCUCUCAUCCUUAAUAUGUAUUCAUGUCUUCCUCUCGGAGUAUAGGCUUGGCGAACUCUAGACGGCCUGCGGUUAGGCAACCGAGUUGGAGCCUUUGUUCCAUGUCUUUACUUUUUCCCUCUCCCUCCUUCUCUCUCUGUCUCUUCCUGAAUAAUGGCUUUGCAUACGCAGACGCGUCUUUGCUGAAAAACCUACAUGGUUAUUGACUCUGCAAGCAAGAGAAAAUCACUCAAAAAAGUCCCUCAGCGUCUUGCACCAUUUACUUUGCUUCAUUGCAUGGCACAACUCACCUCGCUGAUUCAUGAUUUGGAAUUACCAAAUCAAGAUUUGGUGUGUGUGUGCGCGCGUAAUGGGCUCUUGGAAGCAUUUCUUUGCAAGAUCCCCGGCGUGGGUCGGACCGGAGCGACGAUCAGCAGCAGUGCUCUAUUUAUAAAGAGGCUAUGAUGACUGCCAGAGCGAGAUGCGCCUAAAGAGGCUUCUUGGUUUAGUAAGAGAGAGAGAGAGAGAGAGAGAGAGAGAGAGAGAGAGAGAGAGAGAGAGAGAGAGAGAUGGAAGUGAAGCAUUCCUGUUCAUCUUGUUGUAGUGGCAGGGCAAGCUUGGACGGUCUGCUACACCGCAGGCAACCGCUUGCAGCCACCUCAUGGUUAAGGGUGAUGAAUGAAGGAUUGGAGAAAUAUUUUGCAUUAUGAGAAGCCAGGUUUCCGGAAUCCUUAAUAAAUAUUAUCAGCUCCAGCGAACUGACAGACCGUAUCAGCUGAAGCAUGAAGCUACCGUGUCCAUUUAAGCAUUGGCUUAGCAUCAACUGAAGGACCAUCCAGAAUUAAAGGCAAAAGAACUUGAAUGAUUGCAUCAGAAGGUAUUUCACACCCUGAGAGUCAGGUAUGGGACCUGGGCCUCACCUUCUUCCUCCAUAUAUCUAUCGCGGAUGAUGAUUUCUUCCUUUCCCUGGGCUUCACUCAGUCUUGUCAUGUAUGAACACAUUGGUGGGUCUUGCAACAAUAUAUGCAUGAGCUGUGGUUCAUCUUUUUCUCCCCCGCUCCAUUCCCCCCAUUCCCCACCAAAUAAGGGAAUUUGCAAAACAUAUUUCUGUCUUCUUAAAUGAAAGUUUCCUUUUGGACAACAGCAGUCUUUUGGGAUGGUUUUUGGAGCGAGAUAUAUCAUAAAGAUUGGUUAAUUAUAUUUGCAGUUCAAAGUUACAUGUUGUUGGAGAAAGUUGUAUCCUCAUUAUUCAGUAUGAUGGAGCUCUCUCCGAACGAGAGAAUCCAACCAAGAGGUAGGAAAACAACUGAAAAAUUCUACAUUUUUCAUUUUUGUAUCCUUUUGAGACCCAACUUUAAAUGUGAAAAAUGCUGUGGAUACCUCUUAGCUGCACGUGAAUAGUUUUAUAUUUAUAAAGUGGCUGUGAUGAUUACUAUGCUUACAGUAUUCUCUGAAUUACUGAAAAAUUCUUGUAUUAUUUCUUUGAAUUAUUCUUCAGAAACAAAUUAAAUCCAGAACUUUUCAUUUAUUUUCAAAUCACACACAAAUUUUAUGAUUUAUUCACGGGAUAUUCAAGACUAAUUUAAUAAUUUUUUAUCUUACCAAUUAAGGAUACCAUUUGUUAUUGAUGUUUUCACGAUAAUUUAUCAUUGUUGCCUCUCAUAUACUUAUUUUUGAGUAAAUAAGUUUGCAAAUAUAUUAGAAAGUAUUUUUCUAGUUUUACUGUUUAUUUCUAAUUUUUGGUUAUCUGAAAUCAUUCCAAUUUUUUUUGACAAAUUUGCCAGAUGUUUUACGAAUUCUGAAUCAUUACCCCUAGCUGAAUUGCAGCCAUUGUUAGAUAGGAAGAUGGCGGGAGGGAUUCUGAGUCUUCAAUCCUAUCUUUACUUUCUAUCCUUAUGCUAAUCUAUUAGCUUUGAAGACACGUCCAAGAUGAGAGGUCUAUUGUUGGUUCUCUUGCUCAAGCUUAUGACAACUGAUGGGGCUUUAGGGAAAUCUUGGUUUCUACAAAUGGCUGCCCUCUCUCAAAUCUCAUAAGUUUGUCAGUGUCAUACAUUCCCCAAAUAUCAUGGGGUUCGGGGCGUGUUUUUAAGGCUAAAUUUCUACUUAAAAAUGGUAUGUGGAGCCAAUAUAUUGUCCACUUGGUUACUUGUCCAAUAUGACAUAAGGUGAGUUUACUGAGAGAGCAAUAACAUUUUCCUAUUUAAAAUGCACUUCUUACUAUCCACUUAACACUGGCCCAAUGGGAAUCUAAUGGGAGGUUUCCAAGAGACGUGCUUGUAGGAGAGAGAUUUCUCUCACUGGAUGCAACAGAAAAGUUUUGAAAGUUACCUUUUAAAAGUGGUCUUUCCUUUCUCUCACUCUCUCUAUCUCUCUUCUUUUUGUUCUAGUUGUUGUUCUUAUGUUGGUGGUGGUGCUUUAGCCAAAGAGUAAUGCUAAUGCACCAAAUGACGGUACCAAGAAAAGUUCUGUUCCAUGUGAAAAAUUGAUAGCGAGUAGGGCAAUGGGCUGAUUUUUGCAAAAGAUUAUGUUAUGGGGUUCCUGAACAGUUCUCUUGCCACAUGGGGAUAAAAUGAUUGAUAAGGCUGAGGGGAUUUGUUCUCAUAUUUGUUGCUCCAUUAUGUGGCACAUUUCAUAAUGUAAAUUCAAUGAGAGCAAUUUUGAAGAAUACAACACACUUUCUGAGUGAUUUUUUGAGUUACAUUUUUGGGUUACUGAAGUAUUUUUAUUUUGGAAUUGGCAAAUCAGUAUUUAUGGUUCUGGUGAGCUUUGGGAGUGCACAUAACAGGCACCCUUAAGCAUUCCCCUUCCCAAAUCAUCUAUUUGGCUGGGUCCAAAUCAAGGAUCCAUGCCAGUGUAUAUGACAUUUAAAAGGAGGCUGUGAUGACUGCUAGUGCAAGAUGCGCCUAAAAAGCACUUUUCUUUGAUAGAGAGAGAGAGAGAGAGAGAGAGAGAGAGAGAGAGAGAGAGAUGGACUUGAAGCAUUUCUAGUAUUCUUCUUAUUAUAGCAGCAAUACUCAUUUAGCCAACCCCAACUAGUUUGAGAUCAAGGCUUAGUUGAGUUGAGUUGAGUUCCUGUUGCAGUGGCAAGUUAAGCUUGGAUGGUCUGAUACUCUGCAGGCAACUGCUUGCAGCCACCUGGUGGUUAAGGUGCAGAGGAACUUGCAAUUCCUUUCUUUUUAAAAUGGCAGAUCUGAGCCUUCUUUUCAUCCUCCCCUUGUUUACUAUGUUGAAUCUCUGAAUUAAGUACUGCUUUUCAGUUGUUUUUCUUCACAUUGUUGCAUGUGAAAGACUUGGUUUGUUGCUGAAGUUCCUUAAUAACUAGAAUGAUAUGGCGAUGGAUGAAGGAUUGGAGAAAUAUAUUUUGCAUUAUGGGCAACUAAGGUUCUGGAGUCCCUAAUACUUGCUAUCUGGUCCACCAAGCUGAGAGACUAUAUCAAUCAAACACUCAUGAAGCUGUCGUGUUCAUUUAAGCCUUGGCUUAGCAUCAAAUGAAGUACCAUUGAGAAUUGAAUGAAUGAAAGCUUGAAUAAUAGCAAGAGGCAUUUCACACCCCCAGAGUCAGGUAUGUGACUUGGGCCAUGCUUCUCUUCCAACAUAUAUCUAUUGCAGAGAAUGCUUUCUUUCUCUCCCUGGGCUUCACUCAGCCUUGUCAUGUAUGAAUGAGCAAUGCUAUGGUAACUCAGAAAAAUCACUCAAGAAAGUCAACGUAGUUGUCUUGCACCAUUAAUGUUGCUUCAUUAUGUGGCACAAUUCACAAUGCAAAUUCAAAGUGAACAAAAAUAAUAUAACACACUGGCUGAGUGCCUUUUUGUGCUAUAUUUUGAGUUAAUAAAGCAUUUUAAUUUCUUUC